rnacentral:rRNA from 1 species
UGGUGUAAAGGGUGCGUAGGCGGGUCUUUAAGUCUGGGGUGAAAUCUUGCGGCUCAACCGUAAAAUGGCCUCGGAUACUGGAGACCUUGAGUAUGACAGAGGGUGGCGGAAUUCGUAGUGUAGCGGUGAAAUGCAUAGAUAUUACGAAGAACACCAGUGGCGUAGGCGGCCACCUGGGUCAUAACUGACGCUGAGGCACGAGAGCGUGGGGAGCGAACAGGAUUAGAUACCCUGGUAGUCCACGCUGUAAACGAUGUAUACUAGGUGUCGGGUCCUUCGGGAUUCGGUGCUGCAGCUAACGCAUUAAGUAUACCACCUGGGGAGUACGUCGGCAGCGAUGAAACUCAAAGGAAUUGACGGGGGCCCGCACAAGCGGUGGAGCAUGUGGCUUAAUUCGAUGCAACGCGAAGAACCUUACCUGGGCUAAAUCUGCGGCUAAGUGACCCGAAAGGGGAUCGUCUCAGUUUACUGAGGACCGUAGAAGGUGCUGCAUGGCUGUCGCCAGCUCGUGCCGUGAGGUGUUGGGUUAAGUCCCGCAACGAGCGCAACCCCUAUGGUUAGUUACCAGCACGUAAUGGUGGGGACUCUGGCCAGACUGCCUACGCAAGUAGUGAGGAAGGUGGGGACGACGUCAAGUCAUCAUGGCCCUUACGUCCAGGGCUGCACACGUGCUACAAUGGCCGGCACAACGGGUCGCGACCCCGCGAGGGGGAGCUAAUCUCCAAAGCCGGUCCCAGUUCGGAUCGCAGUCUGCAACUCGACUGCGUGAAGUUGGAAUCGCUAGUAAUCGCGUAUCAGCAACGACGCGGUGAAUACGUUCCCGGGCCUUGUACACACCGCCCGUC